rnacentral:rRNA from 1 species
CGCGUAGGCGGUCGUUUAAGUCAGGUGUGAAAGCCCCCGGCUCAACUGGGGAGUUGCAUCUGAUACUGGGCGACUAGAGUGCAGGAGAGGAAAGUGGAAUUCCGAGUGUAGCGGUGAAAUGCGUAGAUAUUCGGAGGAACACCAGUGGCGAAGGCGGCUUUCUGGACUGCAACUGACGCUGAGGCGCGAAAGCUGGGGGAGCGAACGGGAUUAGAUACCCCGGUAGUCCCAGCCGUAAACGAUGGAUGCUAGGUGUGGGGGGUAUCGACCCCUUCCGUGCCGCAGUCAACACAAUAAGCAUCCCGCCUGGGGAGUACGGCCGCAAGGUUGAA